rnacentral:rRNA from 1 species
UGGCGGCGUGCCUAAUACAUGCAAGUGGGACGCAAGGGAACACACUGUGCUUGCACCACCGUGUUUUCUUGAGUCGCGAACGGGUGAGUAACGCGUAGGUCACCUGCCUAUUAGCGGGGGAUAACUAUUGGAAACGAUAGCUAAUACCGCAUAAUAUUAAUUAUUGCAUGAUAAUUGAUUGAAAGAUGCAAGCGCAUCACUAGUAGAUGGACCUGCGUUGUAUUAGCUAGUUGGUAAGGUAAGAGCUUACCAAGGCGACGAUACAUAGCCGACCUGAGAGGGUGAUCGGCCACACUGGGACUGAGACACGGCCCAGACUCCUACGGGAGGCAGCAGUAGGGAAUCUUCGGCAAUGGACGAAAGUCUGACCGAGCAACGCCGCGUGAGUGAAGAAGGUUUUCGGAUCGUAAAGC